rnacentral:lncRNA from 1 species
CUAAUUAUAACAACCAACUGAGAAUAAGUAUUACUAUAUUGCUGUUUUUGUUUUACAGAAGAGGAAACUAUUGCUCAGUAAAGAUCAGAAGUGUAUCCAGAGCACCACAGCUAGUAACUUAUGGUGCUGGCUUCAAACCCAGAUCUGUGAUACUAAAACCUGUGCUCUUUCCAUCAUAUUACAGUAAUUCCCAACAGACUGGCCCCAGCAACAGAGAAACAGUCUAGGGUGUAUCUUAACUAUACGGCACAGAGCUACAUGGUAUAUGAAAGAAAUUUCUAGACGUGGUCUCCAGUUUUGUAUGGAGCUCAGAGUUUAAGAACCACCCUGAUAUGAGCAAAGUGAAAGACCAUAUUUGGGUGGAGCUGAGCUAUUUAUAGCAUCAUCAGGUACUUUUGAUAAUUGAAGAUGAGGAGAUUCUGCACAAUCCUAAAGCCUUUCUUCAUAGAUGGAAUUUGUUUUAAGGAAGCAAAAAACAAAGAUACGUCUGGGAACUUUGACUGAGGGGAAUUGGCAUUUAAACUACAUCUACUGGCUCCAAUAUUGGCACCAGGUUAACAUUCAGUUUCUGGAACUCUUCAUUUCACUUGGGUUCCAAUUAUUCUUGCUCUCUCAUCAAAAAUGUAAAUUCCCUUGUAGGAUCGUGCGGAACAGACACUUAAUAUUUACUCAUCAUUCUCCUAAUUGGUUUCCCAAUCAAUAGUUACUACAGUUGAAAAUUGUCAUUGCUAUGUCUUAGAAAACAAAGAUUAUAUGGAACCAAAACUGUAAAGGCACAAAAGUGAUCAUAAAACACACAUUUUAGGUAUAUGCAAUAAAUUUAACAAAUAUUAAGGGCUUUGAUCUGAAUGUCUGUGUCCUCCUAAAAUUCACAUGUUGGAAUCCUUACGCCCGAUGUUAUGGUGUUAGAAGGUGCGGCCUUUGAGAGGUGAUGAGGUGUUGACGGUGGAGGCCUCACGAAUGGGAUCAGUGCUCUUGUAGAAGACAUCCCAGAAAGCUGCCUAGCCCCCAGUCCACCGUGCAAGGAGACGAGAAUUCUGCAGCCCCGAAGAGAGCGUUCAUCGGACGAUGCUGGCACCUUGAUCUCGGCUGUCCAGGCUCCAGAACUGUCGGCCAAGGAUGAUGAUUACAACAUGGGAGUAUCUUCGCAGUUUUCCUAUUCUCAGAAGUUUUCCACAUUUAGUGUCUCAAGAGCCCAUUUAAAAUAGGUAUAUUAUGGGCUUAUUUUCUGGAUGUACCUAAUCUACACCACCUGUUCAGGUUGUUAUCAACUUUCCCUGACUUUUUCCUUACAAAUGGACCUUGGAGUCAAUAUUUAAACACAUUAUAUCUAGCCUCUCAAUGCGUUAAUUUGGCAACAAGACUAACAAAAAUUUGAGAAGGGCCUAUAUCAGAAAUGGAGAAACUUCUAAUGACCUGGACUGAAGACCAGACACAGGAGCAUAUCCCUCUCAGCACCAUGACAAUCACAGCCAAAGCAAAAAGUUUACUUGUGAUAUUGAAAGAAAAGACUGGAUCCAACUACAAUGUUGAAUUUACUGCUAGCUCUGGGCGGUUUAAACAAUUCAGGAAUGAUUAUUUAUUACACACUGUGAAAGGAGUGGUGAAUCUGCAAGUGCUGAUGUGAAGGCAAUGAAGAAUUUUUGGAAACUCUAGAUAAGCUGACUGUGGAGGAAAAUUACUUGCCAGAACAAAUAUUCAAUAUGGGUGAAAGCUCCCUAUUCUGGAAAUGGAUGCCUGAAAGGAUGUUAAUCCAUAGGGAGGCCAAGUCAAUGCCAGGUUUCAAGGCUUAACAAUCUUGCUUGGGGGUAAUGUUGCAAGCUACAUAUUGAAACCCUUUGUGAUCUGACACAGUGAGAACCCCAGGGCCUUCAAGCAUAUCAAUAAGCACACAAUUCCAGUAUUCUACAUGAGCAAUAAGAAGUCAUGGAUGACCCAGCUCCUCUUCUGAGAUGCCCUCCUGAGUUGCUAUGCCAGC